ensembl:lncRNA
CCAGAAUAGAAAAUAACAUCGUAUAGCCUGAUUAUUUCUUAAAGAAUGUUAUGUGUGGCCAUGGCACCACAAACUACUUUAUUACACAGUUACAAAAUACUUAAAACUUCUAUCAAGAACGUAGACAGAAAGAAAAAGUGGUAAUAAAUAGCCAUGAAAUAGACAUGAAGGAAACGGUUACAGAUGGAGCAACUCGCUUUACUCUUUGUAACUUGAACCGAAACGAAGGCGCAUGGAAGACAUACAGUGUGUGUCCGUGUAACCUCAGCUUCAACUGUGGUCCAGGAUUGACAAUGAAUGGCCAAUGGCCGAUACGACGUCACUUCAAAAACCAAUAAACGUUGGGUGGGCGGGACAUCCCACUUUACACCGAGAAGGAAUCUAGCGAGCCAGAUCUUUCACUCGACCGUCAUAAACGUUAGUAGCGCACUAGAUUUGGGUCUCCAGACUGGUUUUGAAAUAAAGUUGAUAAAGCGUAUAAAAAGUCACCAGAUUGAUAGAAUUCUAAGCAAAUGUUUCUAACCGCGGAAAUCCGGAGAUCCCAUAGAGGGAUGCUCGAGUUAUGUUCAGGCGCUCGGUGGCUGAUCUUCAUCUGUAUCUACUUUCUGUGGCUACACAAAGUCGAGGGCAAUGACUGUUCUGCCAAGUCUGAUCCGAAUGGCAUGACGUUUCAUCUACUUGAGGACGUAGCUUCCUGUAAUGAAUACAAUUGGUGUGUUGAUAAUACUGUGGUGGCCAAUGAAGAUCAUUUUAAUGACAUGAUGGUUCUCAGCAAAGAUCGUCGUAGCAUCACUUUUAAAACCUGUCCUAACAAUCUUACAUACAAAAAUGUCUGUAACGGGAAAAUCAUCAACUGCCCUUCCUGCCCCACAACCCCAACUACAAAUGUGCCGUCCCCCCGGAACAGUGGACAUGCUGAUGGUGUUGUUGCGGUCAUAUUUGUUGUUCUCUUUUGUAACCUCAUCUUUAUGUUGUAGAAGAGAAUCUGACAUCAAGAAGAUAUGUGAGAAGCCUGGUGCAGAUGUGACCUCAGCCAAAGAAUACCUCCUGAAGAAAACACUCUAAUAAAGCUGCGUGUUACUGUUUUUACUCUUUGGAUCAUAAUAGUUUUUUUUUUAAAGAACAUCCAUCCAUCCAUCUUCUAUACCGCUUAUCCUUUCUUCAGGGUCACGGGGAAACCGGAGCCUAUCCCAGGGAGCAUCGGGCACAAGGCGGGUUACACCCUGGACAGUGUGCCAAUCCAUCACAGGGCACAAUCACAUGAACACUCACACACCCAUUCAUGCACUGUGGACACUUUAGACACGCCAAUCAGUCCAGAUUCCAUAUAUAUAUAUAUAUAUAUAUAUAUAUAUAUAUAUAUAUAUAUAUAUAUAUAUAUAUAUAGAUAGAUAUAUAGAUAUAUAUAUAGAUAGAUAUAGAUAUAGAUAUAUAGAUAUAGAUACAUAUAUCAAAGCAAACCAAUGACUACAUUUCCCAUCCUGCACUGCAGACUACAAACAUGGCCACCAUGGACUACACUUCCCACACACCUUCACCUUCUCUGGAAUUCUAAUCACACACACCUCUUGCCAAUCUCACACUCACUCACUCAGCUAUAUAAGAGACUUUUUUGAACACCAUCACUUUGCGAAAUUUGUGUGUUUCACCAUACCAAGCAUUCGUACCCUGUGCAUUUGCAUCCGUCCUAAACUCCAUUACGUGGAUUACGUGACAGUUGAGGACCUCUGAUUUGGCCAGCACAUAAUUUAAUUAAUUGAGAUGGAUUGUAUAGCCAAAAUGAUUACAUGUAUAUUCUAUAUACAUGAUGUCUACUGCUCUACCAUAAACUCAACUACUAGGUCUCCAUGUUUCUUAUAAUUUAAUUUUCGUUUUUGAGAUAUUGUAAUACGCAAUCUGUAUACUCCCAUACAUGCCACCAGGGGCCAGCCUUUACCUGAGUUUUGAAACUCUGUGAUGGUUAUUCUCAUAUUGUUCACUUUAAAAGCACAUGGGUUUUUUAAAGAUGCUUAGCUUUGGAGGGAGACAACAAAGGAAGAAGUUCUACACGGGAACAGGGGUAGUCCAAGGUGGAAUUGUUUCCCAAAAGACAUACUAUACACUGUACACUUACACUAUGCACUAUACACUGGCAUCUAGUGUAUGAAUUUCAGAAGGGUGGGAUCAUCUCAAAUGGCUCACUUUCGGUAUUGUACUAUUCGGAGGUAUAUGCUGUUUCCUGGUCGAGGGCAAAUUAUGUCAAACGCACCUAAUGCGAUGGCGCUAGCAUUAGCGAAAUGGCCCAAAAGAUAACAAAAAUGAAUUGGUACAUUUUACUGUUUAUGUUAAUGUUUCCUUGUAUGCCCAACAAGACCUCAGUCACCGUUAGACGGAGGCAUAAUUGUCUCCGCAGGCGAAUUUUGCUUGCACAAUUUAAAAUCAACAUAUUAAGCUAUGGUUUUGACUAUGGCUGCUGGCAAUGUAAACAUCUUUUUUCACAUUCAGCAUCUGUGCCUGAUAAAGACCCUCCCAUCUGCUACAUAAGGAAAGCUGUGACCAUUGAGUGCAUGAAUUGUCCAUCAUUCCACGCUUCGUUUUUUUCGGUUGAAUGAGUGCACCAUCCAGGAACUUAAAGAACUCAGUGUGAACACACCAAUCACACUAUUUAUAUUACAAAAGUGUCUGAUUUGGGACGCACCUACAGAUUUGUCGGCCUUGUUCCUGCUUGCCAUUCUGAUAGCGACCCUGGACUCUUUUUUGACUGUUGCUGUUUAAUAAACUCUCCACAAAUGAACCCUUACUCUGUGCCCGAG